GUCAUAUCAUACUAAUAGUCAGAUUAAUAGAGAAUAUUGCAAAUUAGUUGUCCACAACUAGAUUUUGCACAUGGUCCUGUGUGUAUUGUGUAGGGAAAGCUGAUGAACUGCAGUUUCAAGGAUGCCGUGACACUUGCAUCUUCAAGAUUACUGAUGGGAAGGAGGUGCUGGAUGAAAAUAUGGACACUCGGAAUUCUUUAACUUAAGAAGGCAAGUAAUAAGUCAUUCCGUCCAGCUUGUGGGCAAUGCUAAUUUCGAGCCUCUGACUUUGAAGUUUCUGUGAACAAAGGAUUUGUCAAUUGACUCUCCUCUUUACAUCAGUUUAUAUUUUAAAAAUCUUUGACGCUUAAGAAUACUUAUAUCGUCUUUAUCGAAAAAGAGAAUCCUUAUAUCGUACUGAAACAAAAAUAGUGUUAAUUCACGUCAUUUGGUGCGAGAGUCAUAAUAUUGUACAAAGUUUUACUACAAGUGUUUGUAACUGAUUCUUCUGUACCAUUCAUGCUACCAUGCAUUUUAUGACUACGGGGUCAAUCUCCUCGGAAGUUAGUGGGGA